rnacentral:rRNA from 1 species
UUAUGAUUUAAACUUAAUAGUAUUGGAGCCUAUAAUAAAGCCCUAGAUAAGAGCU